UACGUAGGGUGCAAGCGUUGUCCGGAAUUAUUGGGCGUAAAGCGCUUGUAGGCGGCACGUCAAGUCGCGUGUGAAAUCCCCAGGCUUAACCUGGGAAGUGCGCGCGAAACUGACGAGCUUGAGUGCCGGAGAGGGUCGCGGAAUUCCCGGUGUAGAGGUGAAAUUCGUAGAUAUCGGGAGGAACACCAGUGGCGUAGGCGGCGACCUGGACGGACACUGACGCUGAGACGCGAAAGCGUGGGGAGCAAACAGG
rnacentral:rRNA from 1 species